AUUGAACGCUGGCGGCAGGCCUAACACAUGCAAGUCGAGCGGAUGAAGGGAGCUUGCUCCUGGAUUCAGCGGCGGACGGGUGAGUAAUGCCUAGGAAUCUGCCUGGUAGUGGGUGAUAACGUCCGGAAACGGGCGCUAAUACCGCCUACGUCCUGAGGGAGAAAGUGGGGGAUCUUCGGACCUCACGCUAUCAGAUGAGCCUAGGUCGGAUUAGCUAGUUGGUGGGGUAAAGGCCUACCAAGGCGACGAUCCGUAACUGGUCUGAGAGGAUGAUCAGUCACACUGGAACUGAGACACGGUCCAGACUCCUACGGGAGGCAGCAGUGGGGAAUAUUGGACAAUGGGCGAAAGCCUGAUCCAGCCAUGCCGCGUGUGUGAAGAAGGUCUUCGGAUUGUAAAGCACUUUAAGUUGGGAGGAAGGGCAGUAAGUUAAUACCUUGCUGUUUUGACGUUACCAACAGAAUAAGCACCGGCUAACUUCGUG
rnacentral:rRNA from 1 species